rnacentral:misc_RNA from 1 species
GAUGAAGAACGCAGCGAAAUGCGAUAAGUAAUGUGAAUUGCAGAAUUCAGUGAAUCAUCGAAUCUUUGAACGCACAUUGCGCCCGCCAGUAUUCUGGCGGGCAUGCCUGUUCGAGCGUCAUUUCAACCCUCAAGCCCUGCUUGGUGUUGGGGAUCGGCGUUGCCUCCUCCGUCGUUCGCGGCGGGGUGAGGUCGCCGCCCCCGAAAUGAAUUGGCGGUCUCGUCGCAGCUUUCCUUUGCGUAGUAGCUAACACCUCGCAACUGGAACGCGGCGCGGCCAUGCCGUAAAACCCCAACUUCUGAAUGUUGACCUCGGAUCAGGUAGGAAUACCCGCUGAACUUAAGCAUAUCAAUAAGCGGAGGA